AUCUGGUUGAUCCUGCCAGUAGUCAUAUGCUUGUCUCAAAGAUUAAGCCAUGCAUGUCUAAGUAUAAGCAAUUUAUACAGUGAAACUGCGAAUGGCUCAUUAAAUCAGUUAUCGUUUAUUUGAUAGUUCCUUUACUACAUGGAAUACCUGUGGUAAUUCUAGAGCUAAUACAUGCUUAAAAUCCCGACUCUUGUGGAAGGGAUGUAUUUAUUAGAUAAAAAAUCAAUGUCUUCGGACCCUUUGAUGAUUCAUAAUAACUUUUCGAAUCGCAUGGCCUUGUGCUGGCGAUGGUUCAUUCAAAUUUCUGCCCUAUCAACUUUCGAUGGUAGGAUAGUGGCCUACCAUGGUUUCAACGGGUAACGGGAAUAAGGGUUCGAUUCCGGAGAGGGAGCCUGAGAAACGGCUACCACAUCCAAGGAAGGCAGCAGGCGCGCAAAUUACCCAAUCCUAAUACAGGGAGGUAGUGACAAUAAAUAACGAUACAGGGCCCAUUCGGGUCUUGUAAUUGGAAUGAGUACAAUGUAAAUACCUUAACGAGGAACAAUUGGAGGGCAAGUCUGGUGCCAGCAGCCGCGGUAAUUCCAGCUCCAAUAGCGUAUAUUAAAGUUGUUGCAGUUAAAAAGCUCGUAGUUGAACCUUGGGCCUGGUUGGCCGGUCCGAUUUUUUUCGUGUACUGUGUUGACCGGGUCUUUCCUUCUGGCUAACCAUUUGUCCUUGUGGCAGAUGGCGAACCAGGACAUUUACUUUGAAAAAAUUAGAGUGUUCAAAGCAGGCGUAAGCUCGAAUAUAUUAGCAUGGAAUAAUAGAAUAGGACGUUUGGUUCUAUUUUGUUGGUUUCUAGGACCAUCGUAAUGAUUAAUAGGGACGGUCGGGGGCAUCAGUAUUCAGUUGUCAGAGGUGAAAUUCUUGGAUUUACUGAAGACUAACUACUGCGAAAGCAUUUGUCAAGGACGUUUUCAUUAAUCAAGAACGAAAGUUAGGGGAUCGAAGAUGAUCAGAUACCGUCGUAGUCUUAACCAUAAACUAUGCCGACUAGGGAUCGGGUGGUGUUUUUUAUUGACCCACUCGGCACCUUACGAGAAAUCAAAGUUUUUGGGUUCUGGGGGAGUAUGGUCGCAAGGCUGAAACUUAAAGGAAUUGACGGAAGGGCACCACCAGGAGUGGAGCCUGCGGCUUAAUUUGACUCAACACGGGGAAACUCACCAGGUCCAGACACAAUAAGGAUUGACAGAUUGAGAGCUCUUUCUUGAUUUUGUGGGUGGUGGUGCAUGGCCGUUCUUAGUUGGUGGAGUGAUUUGUCUGCUUAAUUGCGAUAACGAACGAGACCUUAACCUACUAAAUAGUGAUGCUGGCUUUUGCUGGUUAUCUACUUCUUAGAGGGACUAUCGGUAUCAAGCCGAUGGAAGUUUGAGGCAAUAACAGGUCUGUGAUGCCCUUAGACGUUCUGGGCCGCACGCGCGCUACACUGACGGAGCCAGCGAGUAUAACCUUGGCCGAGAGGUCUGGGUAACCUUGUGAAACUCCGUCGUGCUGGGGAUAGAGCAUUGCAAUUAUUGCUCUUCAACGAGGAAUUCCUAGUAAGCGCAAGUCAUCAGCUUGCGUUGAUUACGUCCCUGCCCUUUGUACACACCGCCCGUCGCUAGUACCGAUUGAAUGGCUUAGUGAGGCCUCUGGAUUUGCUUAGAAGAGGGGGCAACUCCACUUCAGAGCGGAGAAAUUGUACAAACUUGGUCAUUUAGAGGAACUAAAAGUCGUAACAAGGUUUCCGUAGGUGAACCUGCGGAAGGAUCAUUU
rnacentral:rRNA from 1 species